rnacentral:rRNA from 1 species
UACCAGCACCCCGAGUGGUCGGGACGUUUAUUGGGCCUAAAGCAUCCGUAGCCGGUUCUACAAGUCUUCCGUUAAAUCCAGCUGCUUAACAGAUGGGCUGCGGAAGAUACUAUGGAGCUAGGAGGCGGGAGAGGCAAGCGGUACUCGAUGGGUAGGGGUAAAAUCCGUUGAUCCAUUGAAGACCACCAGUGGCGAAGGCGGCUUGCCAGAACGCGCUCGACGGUGAGGGAUGAAGCUGGGGAGCA